rnacentral:rRNA from 1 species
UGAGGGAUGAAGUUUAUUGACAGUACCUCAUGAAUAAGGGGCUCCUAAUCUCGUGCCAGCAGGAGCGGUAAUACGAGAGCCCCAAGCGUUAUCCGGAAUUACUGGGCGUAAAGGGUGUGUAGGUGGUUAUAUUAGUCUUCCGUUAAAUCUCCGGGCUCAACCUGGAAACCGCGAAAGAAACGGUAUAGCUAGAGAGUGAGAGAGGUAUGGGGAACUCAUGGUGUAGGGGUGAAAUCCGUUGAUAUCAU